UCCGAGUUGACCCCGGCAGUCUCCUACGAGUCCCCGGCAUUACCCGCUGGCAACAUAGGACAAGGGUUGCGCUCGUUGCGGGACUUAACCCAACAUCUCACGACACGAGCUGACGACAGCCAUGCAGCACCUGUCUCCGCGCCCCUUGCGGGGACCACCCAUCUCUGGGCUUAGCGCGGGAUGUCAAACCCUGGUAAGGUUCUUCGCGUUGCAUCGAAUUAAGCCACAUACUCCACCGCUUGUGCAGGCCCCCGUCAAUUCCUUUGAGUUUUAGUCUUGCGACCGUACUCCCCAGGCGGGAUGCUUAACGCGUUAGCUUCGCUACUGACCGGGUCGAUACGGCCAACAGCUAGCAUCCAUAGUUUACGGCGUGGACUAC
rnacentral:misc_RNA from 1 species